GAUGAACGCUGGCGGCGUGCCUAAUACAUGCAAGUCGAGCGAACAGACGAGGAGCUUGCUCCUCUUACGUUAGCGGCGGACGGGUGAGUAACACGUGGAUAACCUACCUAUAAGACUGGGAUAACUUCGGGAAACCGGAGCUAAUACCGGAUAAUAUAUUGAACCGCAUGGUUCAAUAGUGAAAGACGGUUUUGCUGUCACUUAUAGAUGGAUCCGCGCCGCAUUAGCUAGUUGGUAAGGUAACGGCUUACCAAGGCAACGAUUCGUAGCCGACCUGAGAGGGUGAUCGGCCACACUGGAACUGAGACACGGUCCAGACUACUACGGGAGGCAGCAGUAGGGAAUCUUACGCAAUGGGAGAAAGCCUGACGGAGCAACGCCGCGUGAGUGAUGAAGGUCUUCGGAUCGUAAAACUCUGUUAUUAGGGAAGAACAAAUGUGUAAGUAACUAUGCACGUCUUGACGGUACCUAAUCAGAAAGCCACGGCUAACUACGUG
rnacentral:rRNA from 1 species